rnacentral:rRNA from 1 species
UACGUAGGGUGCGAGCGUUAAUCGGAAUUACUGGGCGUAAAGCGUGCGCAGGCGGUUUUGUAAGCCAGAUGUGAAAUCCCCGGGCUCAACCUGGGAAUGGCAUUUGGGACUGCAAGGCUGGAGUGUGGCAGAGGGAGGUAGAAUUCCACGUGUAGCAGUGAAAUGCGUAGAGAUGUGGAGGAAUACCGAUGGCGAAGGCAGCCUCCUGGGCCAACACUGACGCUCAUGCACGAAAGCGUGGGGAGCAAACAGG